GACGAACGCUGGCGGCGUGCUUAACACAUGCAAGUCACGGGGGUCUCGCAAGAGAGAACCGGCGAACGGGUGCGUAACACGUGAACAACCUGCCGUUGUGCGGGGGAUAGCCGGGCUAACGCCCGGGUAAUACCGCAUACGCUGCUCGAGGGGAGUCCCUUGGGGAGGAAAGCCAUGGCGCAAGCGAUGGCGCACGACGAGGGGUUCGCGGCCUAUCAGCUAGGUUGGGGGGCGGU
rnacentral:rRNA from 1 species